rnacentral:rRNA from 1 species
UACGUAGGGUGCGAGCGUUGUCCGGAAUUAUUGGGCGUAAAGAGCUCGUAGGCGGUGUGUCACGUCGGCCGUGAAAACCUGCAGCUUAACUGUGGGCGUGCGGUCGAUACGGGCACCACUGGAGUUCGGCAGGGGAGACUGGAAUUCCUGGUGUAGCGGUGAAAUGCGCAGAUAUCAGGAGGAACACCGGUGGCGAAGGCGGGUCUCUGGGCCAUUACUGACGCUGAGGAGCGAAAGCGUGGGGAGCGAACAGG